rnacentral:rRNA from 1 species
UACGUAGGGGGCCAGCGUUGUCCGGAAUCAUUGGGCGUAAAGCGCGCGUAGGCGGCCAGAUAAGUCCGGUGUGAAAGUCAAAGGCUCAACCUUUGAAUGCCGCUGGAAACUGCCUGGCUUGAGUCCGGAAGGGGCGAGUGGAAUUCCUGGUGUAGCGGUGAAAUGCGCAGAUAUCAGGAGGAACACCGAUGGCGAAGGCAGGUCUCUGGGCCGACUACUGACGCUGAGAAGCGAAAGCAUGGGGAGCGAACAGG